GACGUAGGGCGCGAGCGUUGUUCGGAAUUACUGGGCGUAAAGGGCGCGUAGGCGGUUGGAUAAGUCAGCUGUGAAAACCACGGGCUUAACUCGUGGCCUGCAGUUGAGACUGUCUGGCUUGAGUGUGGGAGAGGAGAGUGGAAUUCCUGGUGUAGCGGUGAAAUGCGUAGAGAUGUGGAGGAACACCGAUGGCGAAGGCAGCCCCCUGGGGUAACACUGACGCUCAUGCACGAAAGCGUGGGGAGCAAACAGG
rnacentral:rRNA from 1 species